rnacentral:rRNA from 1 species
GACGGAGGAUGCAAGUGUUAUCCGGAAUCACUGGGCGUAAAGCGUCUGUAGGUGGUUUAAUAAGUCAACUGUUAAAUCUUGAGGCUCAACUUCAAAAUCGCAGUCGAAACUAUUAGACUAGAGUAUAGUAGGGGUAAAGGGAAUUUCCAGUGGAGCGGUGAAAUGCGUAGAGAUUGGAAAGAACACCAAUGGCGAAAGCGCUUUACUGGGCUAUCACUGACGCUGAGGGACGAAAGCUAGGGUAGCAAAUGGG